AUUGAACGCUGGCGGCAGGCCUAACACAUGCAAGUCGAGCGAGCGGCGGACGGGUGAGUAAUGUAUGGGAAUCUGCCCGAUAGAGGGGGAUAACUACUGGAAACGGUAGCUAAUACCGCAUACUAUCGGAUGAACCCAUAUGGGAUUAGCUAGUUGGUGGGGUAACGGCUCACCAAGGCGACGAUCUCUCGCUGGUCUGAGAGGAUGACCAGCCACACUGGAACUGAGACACGGUCCAGACUCCUACGGGAGGCAGCAGUGGGGAAUAUUGCACAAUGGGCGCAAGCCUGAUACAGCCAUGCCGCGUGUAUGAAGAAGGCCUUCGGGUUGUAAAGUACUUUCAGCGGGGAGGCGUUACCCGCAGAAGAAGCACCGGCUAACUCCGUGCCAGCCGCCGCGGUAAUUC
rnacentral:rRNA from 1 species